rnacentral:rRNA from 1 species
UGCAGUCGGACGGGAUUGAGGAGCUUGCUUCUCAUGAGAGUGGCGCACGGGUGCGUAACACGUAUGUAACCUACCUUGUUCAGGGGGAUAGCCUCUCGAAAGAGAGAUUAACACCGCAUAAAAUCAAUUUAUGGCAUCAUAGAAUGAUCAAAUAUUUAUAGGAACAAGAUGGGCAUGCGGAACAUUAGCUAGUUGGUAAGGUAACGGCUUACCAAGGCUACGAUGUUUAGGGGAUCUGAGAGGAUGACCCCCCACACUGGUACUGAGACACGGACCAGACUCCUACGGGAGGCAGCAGUAAGGAAUAUUGGUCAAUGGACGCAAGUCUGAACCAGCCAUGCCGCGUGCAGGAAGACGGCCCUACGGGUUGUAAACUGCUUUUGUACCGGAAUAAACCUUUUCACGUGUGAGAAGCUGAAUGUACGGUAAGAAUAAGGAUCGGCUAACUCCGUGCCAGCAGCCGCGGUAAUACGGAGGAUCCAAGCGUUAUCCGGAUUUAUUGGGUUUAAAGGGUGCGUAGGUGGCCUAUUAAGUCAGGGGUGAAAGACGGUAGCUUAACUAUCGCAGUGCCUUUGAUACUGAUGGGCUUGAAUACACUUGAGGUAGGCGGAAUGUGACAAGUAGCGGUGAAACGCAUAGAUAUGCCACAGAACACCAAUUGCGAAGGCAGCUUACUAAAGUGUUAUUGACACUGAGGCACGAAAGCGUGGGGAUCAAACAGGAUUAGAUACCCUGGUAGUCCACGCCCUAAACGAUGAAUACUCGAUGUUGGCGAUAUACGGUCAGCGUCUAAGCGAAAGCGUUAAGUAUUCCACCUGGGGAGUACGCCCGCAAGGGUGAAACUCAAAGGAAUUGACGGGGGCCCGCACAAGCGGA